ensembl:rRNA 5S_rRNA 5S ribosomal RNA
UUCUACAGCCACACAAUCCUAAAUGCACCCAAUCUCAUCUGAUCUCUGAAGCUAAGCGGGGUUGAGCCUGGUUAGUACUUGGAUGGGAGAAUGCCCGGGAAUACGGGGUGCUGUAGGCU